ACACCUCAACUCUCAUGGUUUGCCAUGAUGAGCUUGGACUCUGGGGGUCUUGCUGGCUUAUGGUCAGCUCCUCUUAAAUGAAUCAGCUUUCCAGUGUUUGGUGGCAUCACAGGUGUGAUAACUAUCUACGCUUGUGGUGUCCUCCCAGGUAACCUUCGGGCAUGGAGGUCGCUGGAGCUAAUAAACGCACAUCUCUCAUUGUAGAGAUGGCUUUUUAGAU
rnacentral:misc_RNA from 1 species